UUCUUCGGACCCCAAAUCAAAUUGCAAAAUUAAAAGAGGAUUUCUUCGAACCCCAAAUCAAAUUGCAAAAUCAAAAGGAGAUUUCUUCGGACCUCAAAUCAAAUUGCAAAAUCAAAAGGAGAUUCCUUCGGACCCCAAAUCGAAUUGCAAAAUCAAAAAAAAAAAAAAAGGGAUUGCUUCGGACCCAAAUCAAAUCCAGUCCACAUAAAAAUCCAAACCCAACCCAAACCAAGUCCACAUAAGGACCCAAAUCAAAUCCAGUCCACACGAAAAUCCAAACCCAACCCAAACAAAGUCCACAUAAGGACCCAAAUCAAAUCCAGUCCAAAUAAAAAUCCAAACCCAACCCAAACCAAGUCCACAUAAGGACCCAAAUCAAAUCCAGUCCACAUGAAAAUCCAAACCCAACCCAAACCAAGUCCACAUAAGGACCCAAAUCAAAUCCAGUCCAAAUAAAAAUCCAAACCCAACCCAAACCAAGUCCACAUAAGGACCCAAAUCAAAUCCAGUCCACAUGAAAAUCCAAACCCAACCCAAACCAAGUCCACAUAAGGACCCAAAUCAAAUCCAGUCCAAAUAAAAAUCCAAACCCAACCCAAACCAAGUCCACAUAAGGACCCAAAUCAAAUCCAGUCCACAUGAAAAUCCAAACCCAACCCAAACCAAGUCCACAUAAGGACCCAAAUCAAAUCCAGUCCAAAUAAAAAUCCAAACCCAACCCAAACCAAGUCCACAUAAGGACCCAAAUCAAAUCCAGUCCACAUGAAAAUCCAAACCCAACCCAAACCAAGUCCACAUAAGGACCCAAAUCAAAUCCAGUCCAAAUAAAAAUCCAAACCCAACCCAAACCAAGUCCACAUAAGGACCCAAAUCAAAUCCAGUCCACAUGAAAAUCCAAAUCCAACCCAAACCAAGUCCACAUAAGGACCCAAAUCAAAUCCAGUCCAAAUAAAAAUCUAAACCCAACCCAAACCAAGUCCACAUAAGGACCCAAAUCAAAUCCAGUCCACAUAAAAAUCCAAACCUGUCACGCCCCCGAGCCCGCCUCUUUGGUCGGAUUCGGGCACGCCAACAGACCGCCGAACGGACAGGGUUUCCCCUGCACGCGGACAGAGUCUCCCCUGUACGUUCAAGGCAUCGCAGUCAAUACAAUUACAAGAGGUUCCAAACAGGAACAAUUAUCAACAACGAUUGCAUAAGGAAGGUAUCAAACAACAUAACACAUCCUAUAUUAUUACAAUCAUUCAUCUCAUCAUUUUACAUCGCAUUUUUCAUUACAUUGAUUCUCAACUUCCAAAUAUACAAUCGAUUUCUAAACAUAACAUUACAACAUCGAUUCUUUUCUUUUCUUUUCUUAUACCCCUAAGAAGCCGACUCAGGGUGUUGCUAUCUGGUCUCUGUGGUAGGGCGCUAACUACGGAGCUACGCCCUUUCCUCGCGCCGCCGCGCCGCUCGCGUGUGAACCUGUACUCCCAAAAACAACAACAUGGGGGUGAGACUAUUGUCCAUAGUCGUCAGUGGGUACAGCCACCCAAGUGAAAAGCUCAACCCACCAGGUCCAAAGGAGGCACUGCAACAUGUUAGUCCAAUAGAUAUAUACAUAUAACAUCAUGCAAUACAUGUUCAUGCCUCACAAAUAUGCAAAUUAUGCAACUCUUAGUCAUUCUUUACCAUUAGCCUUUCUUUAGAAUAUGCAAUUCUUUAUCAUUAGCCAUUCUUUAUUCUUUAUUCUUUAUUCUUUAUUCUUUAUUCUUUGCAAAGGGCACUCACACCUUAGGCGCAUUAUACACAUUUGCCAUUCUUUGUAACAUUAACAAACGUUUUCCAAUUGUCAUUCUUUCUCAAUUGUCAUUCUUUCACAGGGUUACCUUUACCCUAGCCAACUAUGCCACUCGACUCGGUCUUGAGUCAAUUCAUGAUGAAUACAAGAUCCACUUUCCAAUCCAUGAUUCCUUUUUGUUCUUUGUUCUUUAAUCUCACGGCUAACCCGGGGGUUUCGUCACAUUAACUUGCUUCACAUUAAGUCCAUCAUCACAGGAACUCACCAGCUAGGACCGUCCUUACGGGUCUACUCCAACCCGGAUGCCAAACUCCGGAGCGCAUCGCCCGAGGGGGAGCGACCGCCCUCGAGCACGGAACUCAUAGCAAGUAUGAUCAAUCCUUAACUCUAAGGAUAUGUUGUUGGAUCAUGGUUUUACACUAACUCUAGUGUUCUUUACAUCACUUUAUGUUGCCACUCUAGCAAUCAUUGUUCUUUACAUUUCUUUUACUUUUGCUAACUCUAGCAAUCACGUUUUUCACAUUCCUUUACUUUAAGCUAUCUUUAGCUUUCACAUUCUUUAACUUUACACGUUCUUUACGCCACAUUACAUUACAUUGUCUCUAGCCAUUAUCAUUAUUCUUUACACUUUGCUUCUUCUUUAUGCCACAUUACUUUACAUUGCCUCUAGCCAUUAUCAUUGUUCUUUACAUCACAUUGCUUUGCCUUGUCUCAAGCCAUUAUCAUUAGGUUCUCACAUUACAUCUCAUGCAUACACAUAGAUUAUUUAGAUUCUUAAUCAUUCUAAUAAGCACGUGUACUCACAUCAUGCAACAUUACAUUAUUAUCAUCACAUUGUCUUACAUUAUCUUUAGCCAUUAUCAUUAUUCUUUACAUCACAUUUAUUCUUUGAUGUCCCACACUAACUCUAGUGUCCACUUUACCAUUUCGAAUGCCACUCGAUCUAUGUUCAACAUGCAUAUAUUUGUCAUCCAUUGGUAGUCAUUACUUAGCAUUUUAUGCAUUCGUUAACAUUUACUACAUGCAUUCUCGGUUAGUACAAAUCUCAUACUUUCAUUUGACAUCUAUUUAGCAUUUCUAUAAUAUGCACAUAUAAAUUAACAUCAACUCAUGCAUUCAUUUGGCAUCUAUCUUUAUCAUGCAUUCUUAAUUAGCAUACUUUAUCAUGCAUUCUCAAAUAGCAUACUUUAAUCUUUAUCAUGCAUUCUUAAACAGCAUACUUUAUCAUGCAUCAAUAGUAAACAUACUACACUUUAGCAUGGAAAGCGACCUAAUCGCUUCGGUGAGCACAACCCACCUCAUUUCGCAUUCCGAUUGCUUGUCGACAUUUGCAAUCGGCCUCCCGCGGCACCCGGCACCCGGUUUGGCCCGAUCUCUCACGCGACCACCGAACGGCCUCCAAUUCACGAUCCGAAAAUUAAAGGUCUUCGGUUAUGUGCCACGAUGCUUCAAAUCCAUUUUCAUGAAUUUACGAUAUCGCCUCGGCCCUCCCGGCGGACCCGAAGCCUAAACGUUCAUUUCUUUAAUAACUUUGUAACGGCUCGUCGGAUCGCCGAACCGUCUUCGCCAACGCGUUCGUUUACCUAGCAAUUAGGUUUACGGAGGGUCAAAUUAGAUCAAACCCUUAUAUUUUACAAAACCCCAUUCGGAGCCCUAAUAUGCUAUUAACCUCAAAAUAAUCCAAAAUUAAAUGGAUCAACAUGCUAAAAAAGCUCAUUAGAGGCUAUUAGAAUACUUAAAGCUAAGGAUUAAGCCAAAUCCUAAAAGCUUACCUCAAUGUGAACGCCGCGACGAAAAUACGCCGCUCCAACGGGCGCACGAAAGCUCGAUCCGUCGCCUCCAAUGCGUUCGCAAGCAUCUUCUCCACCAACCCUCCAAUUUUUAGAGAGAGAUUUAGAGAGAUGAGAGAGAUCUCUAGAGAGAGAAAGGAGGGUUUCU
rnacentral:lncRNA from 1 species